ACUCAAAUGAAUAGACGGGGGCUCACACAAGCGGUGGAGCAUGUGGCUUAAUUCGAGGCUACGCGAAGAACCUUAUCCCGGGCUUGACAUACGCGAAAGCGGUAGGAAGUAGGGUCCGGAAACGGCACCCCAACGGUAUCCAGUCCGGAACUUACCACAGGUGUUGCAUGGCUGUCGUCAGCUCGUGUCGUGAGAUGUCGGGUUAAGUCCCAUAACGAGCGAAACCCCUGUUUCCAGUUGCCAGCGCGUAACGGCGGGGACUCUGGAAAGACUGCCGGUGUCAAACCGGAGGAAGGUGGGGAUGACGUCAAGUCCUCAUGGCCCUUAUGCCCGGGGCUGCAAACGUGCUACAAUGGCGUGAACAGAGGGACGCGAACCCGCGAGGGGGGGCCAAUCCCAAAAAACACGCCCCAGUUCAGAUCGGAGGCUGCAACCCGCCUCCGUGAAGCCGGAAUCGCUAGUAAUCGCGGGUCAGCAACACCGCGGUGAAUGUGUUCCGGAGCCUUGUACACACCGCCCGU
rnacentral:rRNA from 1 species